CCUGAGCCAAAAGUGAAAUAAGUGGUAAGGACAGUGUGGAUUAUGUUACGAUGAAAUAGAUGUAUAGAUGUUAGUAGUGGUAACUUGUGGGCUAACAGCAAUAACUCAAACAUCUACCUUAGAAGAUAAUAGACUGAGUGGAUAGAAAUAGCAUGGGAUAUGCUGCCUUUUUUUUUUUUUUAAACCAGCCUCUCUUAAUUUUAGGUAACUUUUGAAGAAAACAUAGUGUCUUGAAAAUAGUUUUCCUUUAUAGGUUAUUCAAUGCCCACUCAUAAAACUUUUGAAAUUAAAAAAAAAUACUAUUUCUUGAGAGAAUUGGAGAUUGCUAUAGAAAAUGGUAUUCGUGAGACUGCCAAAGUUCAUUUUAAUAGUGAAAAUAAUGAAUUAGAUUUCGCAGGCAGAAAAAACAGCAAGCAAUUGCUAAUUCACAGCAGCUGCUUCCUCAAAAGCCUUAAUAAAUGACCAUGUAAUGUGAAUGUUAUGAAAGCCUAAUUAGCAAAAUAAACAUUUUUCUUGUUACCCAAAAUACUUGAACAGCAACUAGGUUGAAUCCAUGGCUGAGAAGUUUUAAUAUUAAAAUUCCCAUAAAUCUAUACAUGUGUGACAAUCUAAUAAAACACUAUCAGGAUGUUACUCAGAUGCUUAAAAUAAUAUAUAGAGUGCUAAACAUGAAGUUUUUCUUUUAUAUCCAGAAAAAAGGUGCCAAAUCCCUAGCCUAAAAACAUUAUCUGGAUACAAUUUGUUUGUUUACUAAAAGUUAAUCAUUUUCAACCCAUGAGUGUUGUUCUAUAAUCAAAGUAAGUUUAAUUCAUUUGUAUUAUUAUUGUUUGUCAAAUGAGUAGGCUUCUCCAAAGAUCCUCUGUUCUCACAUCUUUUUUAAGAUUUAUUUAUUUAUUAUAUGUAAGUACACUGUAGCUAUCUUCAGACACCCCUGAAGAGGGCAGCAGGUCUUUUUAAAAGAUAA
rnacentral:lncRNA from 1 species